UACCUCAAAAUUCCGCAACAGUCUGUUUCAUCAGUAAAGAAUCAUCAGGCGGUAUCUUGCCUGAUGAUUCUUUACUGAUGAAACAGACUGUUGCGGAAUUU